rnacentral:rRNA from 1 species
GACGAACGCUGGCGGCGUGCCUAACACAUGCAAGUCGAGCGGAGAUGAUGUGAGGAAGUUUUCGGAUGGAAUCACAUUAUUUUAGCGGCGGACGGGUGAGUAACGCGUGAGCAACCAACCUUGCACAGGGGAAUAACGGACCGAAAGGUUCACUAAUACCGCAUGAGACCACGGUGUUGCAUGACACAGGGGUCAAAGGAGCAAUCCGGUGCAAGACGGGCUCGCGUCCGAUUAGGUAGUUGGAGGGGUAACGGCCCACCAAGCCUAUGAUCGGUAGCCGACCUGAGAGGGUGAUCGGCCACAUUGGAACUGAGAUACGGUCCAAACUCCUACGGGAGGCAGCAGUGGGGAAUAUUGGGCAAUGGGGGAAACCCUGACCCAGCAACGCCGCGUGAAGGAAGAAGGUUUUCGGAUUGUAAACUUCUGUCCUUGGUGAAGAGAAGAAGACGGUAGCCAAGGAGGAAGCCCGGCUAACUACGUG